UUUUUUGUUUUUUUUUUUUUUUUUUUUUUACAUAUACAAAAUCCCACAAAUUUAAUGUGCGUCAAUAUCCAUGCAGUAAAUAAAUGUUUUUACAAAUAGAGUUCUUUUUAAAUGAUAAAAAUAUUACACUGGACCCAAAAUUCCAUACAAACAUUAAUACAUGAUUUCUCAUCCAUUUUGACUAAAUAUAGGAUUACUGAAAAUGUGCUGUAGAAAGGCCACUCUCCUGUACAGUUGUGCAAAGUCUGCAAAACGAUAGUGAUUCAAUGGUGGUUUCAAAAGCAAAGAAAAAGAUCCCCGCUGUGGAGUUUUUACUUUCUCCUCUACAGCAAAAAUAUUCACUGGCAUAUAUCUGAACUCUUAAAGAUGAAAGUACAUUCACUGAGCUGUACAGGCAACAGUAUAAAGCUGAUUAGAAGUAGAUUUUAGGAUAUAGAAUAGUAAAGGAGGUUCCCUUUCUCCUCCUGAAAAAAACAGCAAAUUGUGACUUGUACAUUAUGCAGCCAGACACUAAAAAGCAGCACAGUCAUUUUCAUGCUGUGAUCACUUUCAAAAACAAGACGCUUAUAAAUGGAAAUAUAUGAAGAGGACUUUUCCUUAGACUUCAUCCACUCUAUAGAACAAUUCAUGAAGCCAGGAAAAAAACCUCUAAAUUGUUUCUCUCAUAAUUCAAUGUGACAUCUCUUUGAAUGACCAUCACCUGCUUGCUCCUUAGAAGGGAAGUACAUUUUUAUUUUUCAGUGUUGUUUUUUAUAACACACAUCAGCCUGAAACUAAACAUAUUGUACUUCCCUACCUGAAGUAUAAUUACCUAAGUUUAAUUAGUGGACUAGGGGAAAAUUGGAAACUAAGUGGAAAGUUGAUUCAUUUCAGUUUAUACCUUGUUGUCUUUUAAGAGUUGGAGUUUAAAAACAUGAGUUUGGGCUGAAAUUUAUAUAUAUAUAUAGCUGUUAGCUGCCUUUCUGGGUGUGUUAAGUCAGUUUUUAAAAAUCCCCUCUCAAAUUCUUCUGUACACAAUCAGCAUCUCAUCACUACAAAAAUAAAGGAAGAUUUAAACCAAGAAAAUAAAGCAGCUCUAUCUUCAAUUUUGGUCUUAGUUACAAAAACAUCUUACAAAGCUUUGCCCUGAUACACCAAGUGUUCUCAUAGAUUUGGAAUAAUAUUUCCAUUAACUUAGCUUUCACAAGUUAAUAGACUAUUAAGACGAAUAUUAGAUACCUGAACUUUUCUUAUGUCGAUGCUCUUCUAUUUUGCUUAGCUCUUGUAUGCGCAUCUACAUUUCACAAAAAUAAAACUACAGCAUUAAACUUUGUGCAAUGUUUAAGAAAAUUCUUAGAACAUUUUAAUAAAUAUAAAAAAGGUUUAAAUUCUUUCCCACCCACAAGGAUGUCUGCACCUGAAAAAAUGUGAUUUACUUUUGAAGUCUUGUUUAUAUAAAAUUAACUUAAAGGGAGAAAAGAUGACCAUAGAUAGAAAACUGCCUUUUGUGGUUUUACUACUUGAAGACCACCUGUAUUUAGAAUUGUUUGCAAAAGUUAAUUUUAAGUCAUUAAAGACAGUUGAUUUUGCACAUGGUAAACAUAAGCUGAGCACUGUUGCAUAUAAAAUAUACAAAUGCUCAUUAAAGAUAGUGGUAUUGUGACCAUA
rnacentral:lncRNA from 1 species